rnacentral:rRNA from 1 species
AAUAGAUACCCUGGUAGUCCUAGCUGUAAACGAUGAGCACUGGGUUGAGGGGACUUCCGACAUCCUCUCGGCCGUAGCGAAAGCGUUAAGUGCUCCGCCUGGGGAGUAUGGCCGCAAGGCUGAAACUCAAAGGAAUUGACGGGGGCUCACACAAGCGGUGGAGGAUGUGGCUUAAUUCGAGGCUACGCGAAGAACCUUAUCCUAGAUUUGACAUGGUUGAGAAUCUCCUUGAAAGAGGAGAGUGCCCUUCGGGGAGCUCUUUCACAGGUGCUGCAUGGCUGUCGUCAGCUCGUGUCGUGAGAUGUUGGGUUAAGUCCCUUAACGAGCGAAACCCUUAUCUUUAGUUGCCAGCGGGUCAAGCCGGGGACUCUAAAGAGACUGCCGGUGUCAAACCGGAGGAAGGUGGGGAUGACGUCAAGUCCUCAUGGCCUUUAUGUCUAGGGCUGCACACGUCCUACAAUGGCACGUACAAAGGGAAGCCAAGCCGCGAGGCCGCGCUAAUCCCAAAAAGCGUGCCCCAGUUCGGAUUGCAGG